ensembl:snoRNA
UGGACAUUUAUUUUAAAGCAGUUUCUUCUUACAGUGAAGAUAAUCCUAGAGAAGUAUAGUAGCUCUCUGUGUUCCUUUUGCAAGUAAAAAGGGUGCAUCGUUACACUAUUGACAUUU